UACGUAGGGUGCAAGCGUUGUCCGGAAUUAUUGGGCGUAAAGCGUGCGCAGGCGGUUUUGUAAGUCUGUCGUGAAAGCCCCGGGCUUAACCUGGGAAUGGCAUUGGUGACUGCACGGCUAGAGUGUGUCAGAGGGGGUAGAAUUCCACGUGUGAGCAGUGAAAUGCGUAGAGAUGUGGAGGAAUACCGAUGGCGAAGGCAGCCCCCUGGGAUAACACUGACGCUCAUGCACGAAAGCGUGGGGAGCAAACAGG
rnacentral:rRNA from 1 species